rnacentral:rRNA from 1 species
CAGUCGCCGCGGUAAUACGAAGGGGGUUAGCGUUGUUCGGAAUUACUGGGCGUAAAGCGCACGUAGGCGGAUAUUUAAGUCAGGGGUGAAAUCCCAGAGCUCAACUCUGGAACUGCCUUUGAUACUGGGUAUCUUGAGUAUGGAAGAGGUGAGUGGAAUUCCGGGUGUAGAGGUGAAAUUCGUAGAUAUUCGGAGGAACACCAGUGGCGAAGGCGGCUCACUGGUCCAUUACUGACGCUGAGGUGCGAAAGCGUGGGGAGCAAACAGGAUUAGAGACCCGAGUAGUCCCUGUCUCUUAUAC